CAGAGGGUGCGAGCGUUAAUCGGAAUUACUGGGCGUAAAGCGUGCGUAGACGGUUAUUUAAGUCGGGUGUGAAAGCCCCGGGCUCAACCUGGGAAUUGCAUUCGAGACUGAAUAGCUAGGGUACGGUAGAGGGAAGCGGAGUUUCCGGUGUAGCGGUGAAAUGCGUAGAUAUCGGAAGGAACAUCAGUGGCGAAAGCGGCUUCCUGGACCAGUACCGACGUUCAGGCACGAAAGCGUGGGGAGCAAACAGGAUUAGAUACCCUGGUAGUCCACGCCAUAAACGAUGAGGACUAGACGUUGGAGGGGUAAGCCUUUCAGUGUCGUAGCUAACGCGCUAAGUCCUCCGCCUGGGGAGUACGGCCGCAAGGUUG
rnacentral:rRNA from 1 species